rnacentral:rRNA from 1 species
AGACAGGUGCUGCAUGGCUGUCGUCAGCUCGUGUUGUGAAAUGUUGGGUUAAGUCCCGCAACGAGCGCAACCCUUAUCCUUUGUUGCCAGCGAUUCGGUCGGGAACUCAAAGGAGACUGCCGGUGAUAAACCGGAGGAAGGUGGGGAUGACGUCAAGUCAUCAUGGCCCUUACGAGUAGGGCUACACACGUGCUACAAUGGCGCAUACAAAGAGAAGCGACCUCGCGAGAGCAAGCGGACCUCACAAAGUGCGUCGUAGUCCGGAUCGGAGUCUGCAACUCGACUCCGUGAAGUCGGAAUCGCUAGUAAUCGUGGAUCAGAAUGCCACGGUGAAUACGUUCCCGGGUC